GUCGGUGUAGUAUAGUGGUUAGUACUUCUCGUUGUGGUUUCUAUAUCCUGCUCCGAGAGGACCCAUGUUCGAUUCAUGGCACCGACA
rnacentral:tRNA from 1 species